ACCCUCCAGUUUCUUCUUCCAUAGGAUGUCAGGAUGGUCUCGGUGGGUGUAAAGGAGGGGGAAGAGCACUGUAAAGUAAGCCUCAUGGCACAGUAGUCUGACAUGGAGCACGUAGGAUUGAUUCAAGGAGUU
rnacentral:snoRNA from 1 species